CGCGCUGUCCCGGGCCCCAGCCGCCCGCCCGCUCCGUAUUUAUAGGUGCAGCCGCGCCACCGAGCGCCCUGUGCAAUAACACGGCAAUCACGUGUGGGAAACGGGGAGCUGGAGGAAAACAAAAGCCCGGCCAGCAGCCCGGAGGAGGAGGGAGAAGGUAUCACAAUGUUAACGUAGACAUGAAGUUCAAAAUGGAGUAGUCUUUAUUGAAACAAGGAAUGGGCAAAUGUCCUGUCUGCCUGGAAAUCAACUUAAGCAGUGGUGUAAAUAAAGGGCGACUUGUAACUGCAGGAGAACAGAACAACUGCAGGUAAUGAAUGAAUGAAUGGACUGGAAAUUACAGGAAGGAUGGGACUCAAAUUUCAAGGCAGGAUUGUAAAUUGUGGGAAAUGGAGUCAGACGUGCUGUACAUCAAUGCUACAGAUGCUUGAAUUUGCUGCUCCUUUGUAGAUGUGAGUUUGUUUGAAAAGCCAUCUGCUGGUCUUGAGCCUUUAGUAUUUGCUUGCCAAUCGUAACAAGAUAGGUGGGGAGUAUGUUGCUCUUCCUGCUCUGUACAAGGCAUACCUGAACUGCAGAGAAAAGCAGGAGGACGAUGGCCCAUAAAAGUAAGAGGAUGAUAAAUGCAGGUAAGGUCAUUUGUCCCAGAACUUCAAAUGCUCAGAUUCAGUAUGCAAUUGUUUCCAAAGUGGGUAUUUUUAAAGGGCAUCAUGCCAAGUAAUUUGAGGCCAAAUAUAUGGCUAUUUAAGGAAAUACAUUACAGAGCAUUAAAGGCAACUUCUAUGAAAAAUCAUUUUAACUGUGUCCAAAUCUGUGCAGUUGUGCCUCAGCUCAGAGCCGGAGAACAGGGUGAGGCAAGGCACUGUAAUGCUCAGUGCCAAACAGACUGAGGGCCAGAGCUCUGAAAGGGGCACAUCAUGUUCAUGGGGAAUAUUUCUUUUCCCUCUCCACUUUGAAUAUUCCUUGCAAGUGUUGUAUUAUUAAAUGUAAAUACAAUAGCCGUGUGUGGCUGAAACCUAGAAGGAGCAUCUCCCCGUGUGAAAUGUGCCAGCUCUGUUAUCCAUUUGCAGGAUAAACCCUGUUUCCUGCCAGGGUGUCCCACUUUGAACAGGGAGUUUCCUCUCUCCAGACAAUAGCGGCAUGGAUCAGCAUUGCCCUGGGAGCGAGUGGUUUUACAGGGGAGGAGAUGUGCAG